rnacentral:lncRNA from 1 species
AGUGCCUUAUAACAUGUCUUUAUAACUGGCUGUGUAAGAAUGAAGAAAAGCUGUCCAUCUUCUGAGAAGCAUCCUGAGCAAGAUUUGAAACAAUGGCUCUGGCAGACAGACAAAAGAAGGGAGCUUGGCGCUGUUCCCAUAAAUGCUACUGGGUCCUUUCCUCAGUGAAGUUGCUGCUCUGCAGUGGAAUCUCACACUCAGCUUAAGAAAGUCAAGUGAUACAGAUUUGAGCCAUCAAUCAUACUGUGGAAGCUAACUCAACUACCCAGAACUUGAUUUAUGGGAAAGAAAGGGUUUCCAAGACAACUUGAAACCAUGGUUGAUGUAAUGGUUAUUAUGCCCCUGAAAUACCAAUAUAGCCUUUCAUCUUUUUCUGAAAGUAUUAUUCUCAUAAGGAAAUUAUAACACCUAAAGGCUUCAGUGUCA